rnacentral:rRNA from 1 species
UCGGGAAUUUUGGGCAAUGGGCGAAAGCCUGACCCAGCAACGCCGCGUGAAGGAUGAAGUAUUUCGGUAUGUAAACUUCGAAAGAAUAGGAAGAAUAAAUGACGGUACUAUUUAUAAGGUCCGGCUAACUACGUGCCAGCAGCCGCGGUAAUACGUAGGGACCAAGCGUUGUUCGGAUUUACUGGGCGUAAAGGGCGCGUAGGCGGCGUGGUAAGUCACUUGUGAAAUCUCCGAGCUUAACUCGGAACGGUCAAGUGAUACUGCUGUGCUAGAGUACAGAAGGGGCAAUCGGAAUUCUUGGUGUAGCGGUGAAAUGCGUAGAUAUCAAGAGGGACACCUGAGGUGAAGACGGGUUGCUGGGCUGACACUGACGCUGAGGCGCGAAAGCCAGGGGAGCAAACGGGAUUAGAUACCCCCGUAGUCCCUGAGCGGGCUGGCAAGGCGCAU